AACAAGGCGUACCUGCGGACCUGCGGAGGGAUCAUUAAAAAGAGUGUGUACCCCUCUGUAAAAUGAGUGGGUUACCUCCCGUCCUUUGUUGACCUCUUAGGAGGUUAUUUUGAACUUUCUGCUUCGGUGGGGUUAAACCUACCGGAACACCCUCAAAUUCUUAUCAUUUAAAAAUUGUUCAGUCUGAUUUUUGUUAAUAAAAACAAAAAACUUUCAGCAACGGAUCUCAGAUCGGAAGAG
rnacentral:misc_RNA from 1 species